GUAGGGGGCAAGCGUUGUCCGGAUUUAUUGGGCGUAAAGAGCGUGUAGGCGGCCAGGUAGGUGGGUUGUGAAAACUGGAGGCUCAACCUUCAGACGUCGACCCAAACCCCCUGGCUAGAGUCCGGAAGAGGAGAGUGGAAUUCCUGGUGUAGCGGUGAAAUGCGCAGAUAUCAGGAAGAACACCCGUGGCGAAGGCGGCUCUCUGGGACGGUACUGACGCUGAGACGCGAAAGCGUGGGGAGCGAACAGGAUUAGAUACCCUGGUAGUCCACGCCGUAAACGAUGGGUGCUAGGUGUGGGGGGUGUCGACUCCCUCCGUGCCGAAGCUAACGCAUUAAGCACCCCGCCUGGGGAGUACGGCCGCAAGGCUA
rnacentral:rRNA from 1 species